UAAUAGAACUAUUGCAUAAAGUGAUGUUCCUUAAGAGUGGAACGUAGAGCUAUGGUUGGGGAUGUCUAACCAGGACAUCACCAUCAUAGGAUCUUUUCGAUAUCACUCACAUUACACUCGAUCACGUAUAGAUACCGCAAGAGAAAGAAAGAAAAAAAUAUAAGAUAAGAAAAAAUAAUCAAGUAUGUAGAUCAGUCCAAAGCUUACCUCCACAGGACAUGCAAAGCUUCAUUAUGAAAAAAGAAUAAAUACAAAAAAAGAUCCUCACACUCUCAACCCUUAUACAUAAUCUCUCUCAACUAGAAGCUACCCUUAUAAAGCUCUCACUAGAACCCAAAG
rnacentral:lncRNA from 1 species